rnacentral:rRNA from 1 species
CAGCAGCCACGGUAAUACGUAGGGUGCGAGCGUUAAUCGGAAUUACUGGGCGUAAAGCGUGCGCAGGCGGUGAUGUAAGACAGAUGUGAAAUCCCCGGGCUCAACCUGGGAACUGCAUUAGUGACUGCAUCGCUGGAGUGCGGCAGAGGGGGAUGGAAUUCCGCGUGUAGCAGUGAAAUGCGUAGAUAUGCGGAGGAACACCGAUGGCGAAGGCAAUCCCCUGGGCCUGCACUGACGCUCAUGCACGAAAGCGUGGGGAGCAAACAGGAUUAGAUACCCCCGUAGUCCCUGUCUCUUAUAC